rnacentral:rRNA from 1 species
UACGUAGGGGGCAAGCGUUGUCCGGAAUUAUUGGGCGUAAAGCGCACGUAGGCGGUUCGUUAAGUCGGAUGUGAAAGCCCUCGGCUCAACUGAGGAAGUGCACCCGAAACUGGCGAGCUUGAGUACGAAAGAGGAUCGCGGAAUUCCCGGUGUAGAGGUGAAAUUCGUAGAUAUCGGGAGGAACACCGAUGGCGAAGGCAGGUCACUGGGCCGCAACUGACGCUGAGGAGCGAAAGCAUGGGGAGCGAACAGG